CUGGCGGCGUGCUUCAUACAUGCAAGUCGAACGAGAAGCUGACUUCGGUCAGUGGAAAGUGGCGGACGGGUGAGUAAUAUGUAGGAAAUCUGCCCUAGAGAGGGGGACAACAGAGGGAAACUUCUGCUAAUACCCCAUAUGAGCUUAGUUGAAAUACUAAUCUUGAAAACUCCGGUGCUCUAGGAUGAGCCUGCAUCUGAUUAGCUAGUUGGCGGUGUAAUGGACCACCAAGGCGACGAUCAGUAGCUGGUUUGAGAGGAUGAUCAGCCACAAUGGGACUGAGACACGGCCCAUACUCUUACGGGAGGCAGCAGUAGGGAAUUUUGCGCAAUGGGCGAAAGCCCUGACGCAGCAACGCCGCGUGAACGAUUAAGCCCUUCGGGGUGUAAAGUUCUGUCAGUAGGGACGAAACUUGACGGUACCUACAGAGGAAGCACCGGCUAACUCCGUGCCAGCCGCAGC
rnacentral:rRNA from 1 species